GCCCCUUUGGCUAAGCGGUAUAGCGUGUCACUAGUACUUCACUUGACAUGACAAGGUGACUGGUUCGACUCCAGUAAGGGGCA